rfam:TPA: Bos taurus chromosome 29, whole genome shotgun sequence.
UCCCUACUGGCUCAGUUGGUAAAGAAUCUGCCUGCAAUGCAGGAGACCUGGGUUCGAUCCCUGGGUAGGGAU